ensembl:snRNA U4 U4 spliceosomal RNA
AGCUUUGCGCAGUGGCAGUAUCAUAGCCAAUGAGGUUAAUCCGAGGCGUGAUUAUUGCUAGUUGAAAACUUCCCUAUCUGAAUUCACACAACUUCUGCCUGAGAGAAAUACAAAUGUAUAACUUACGAACAAAUGAUGGCUUU